rnacentral:rRNA from 1 species
UAAGUAAACGAAGCCUAACCGCGGGGAAAGUUGGACCCGCCUUGGGGGAGGUUCCGGCCCCCCAAGGGUUGGAAACUCCAAAAGGAAUUUGACCGGGGGGACCCCGGCCCCAAGCGGGUGGGAUGAAUGUUGGUUUUAUUUUCGAUGCCAACCGGCGAAAAACCUUACCUACCCUUGACAUGCUAGGAAUUCUGCAGAGAUGUGGAAGUGCUCGAAAUAGAACCUAGACACAGGUGCUGCAUGGCCGUCGUCAGCUCGUGUCGUGAGAUGUUGGGUUAAGUCCCGCAACGAGCGCAACCCUUGUCAUUAGUUGCUACGAAAGGGCACUCUAAUGAGACUGCCGGUG